rnacentral:rRNA from 1 species
UGAAUACGAGACGCUAAGGCGUCGAAGUAGUGUAUGUCAUACUUCCAAGAAAAGCUUGCACUGUCAUAAGUAAAAAAUGCCUGUACCAUAACCGACACAGGUGGGUAGGUAGAGUAUACUAAGGGGCGCGAGAUAACUCUCUCUAAGGAACUCGGCAAAAUAACUCCGUAACUUCGGGAGAAGGAGUACCUUAUUCUAUAAGGUUGCAAUAACAAGAUCCAAGCAACUGUUUAUCAAAAACACAGGUCUCCGCUAAGUCGUAAGACGAUGUAUGGGGGCUGACGCCUGCCCAGUGCCAGAAGGUUAAAGAAGUCGGUUAGCAUUAGCGAAGCUGGUAACUGAAGCCCUGGUGAACGGCGGCCGUAACAAUAACGGUCCUAAGGUAGCGAAAUUCCUUGUCGGGUAAGUUCCGACCCGCACGAAAGGCGUAAUGAUUUGGAUACUGUCUCGGAGAGGGGCUCGGUGAAAUAGACUUGUCUGUGAAGAUGCGGACUACCUGCACCAGGACAGAAAGACCCUAUGAAGCUUUACUGUAACUUGAAAUUGAAAUUGGACUUUAUUCGCGCAGUAUAGGUGGGAGGUGUUGAUUAUAAUCUUGCGGGAUUAUUGGAGCCAUCAGUGAGAUACCACUCUUGUAAUGUUAGAUUUCUAACUUUGAAUCAUUAUCUGGUCAAAGGACAGUUUCAGGCGGGCAGUUUGACUGGGGCGGUCGCCUCCCAAACGGUAACGGAGGCGUACAAAGGUUUCCUCUGAACGGGUAGAAAUCGUAUCUAGAGUGUAAAGGCAUAAGGAAGCUUGACUGUGAGACCUACAAGUCGAACAGGGACGAAAGUCGGUCUUAGUGAUCUGACGGUACUGAGUGGAAAGGCCGUCACUCAACGGAUAAAAGUUACUCUAGGAUAACAGGCUGAUCUCCCCCAAGAGUUCACAUCGACGGGGAGGUUUGGCACCUCGAUGUCGGCUCAUCGCAUCCUGGGGCGGUAGUACGUCCCAAGGGUUGGGCUGUUCGCCCAUGAAAGCGGUACGCGAGCUGGGUUCAGAACGUCGUGAGACAGUUCGGUCCAUAUCCGGUGUAGGCGUUAGAAUAUUGAGAGGAGCCUUCUUUAGUACGAGAGGACCGAGAAGGACAUACCUCUGGUGUACCAGUUAUCGUGCCAACGGUAAACGCUGGGUAGCUAUGUAUGGAGUGGAUAACCGCUGAAAGCAUCUAAGUGGGAAGCCCACCUCAAGAUAAGUAUUCUCA